rnacentral:rRNA from 1 species
UAGGGAAUAUUGCACAAUGGAGGAAACUCUGAUGCAGCGACGCCGCGUGAGUGACGAAGGCCUUCGGGUUGUAAAGCUCUGUUCUCUGGGAAAAAGAAAGUGAUUGUACCAGAGAAGAAAGGACCGGCUAACUUCGUGCCAGCAGCCGCGGUAAGACGAGGGGUCCAAGCGUUGUUCGGAAUUAUUGGGCGUAAAGCGGGUGUAGGUGGCUCUAUAAGUCAGGAGUGAAAGCCCCAAGCUUAACUUGGGAAGUGCUUUUGAUACUGCAGAGCUUGAAUGUGGGAGAGGAUAGUAGAAUUCCAGGUGUAGUGGUGAAAUACGUAGAUAUCUGGAGGAAUACCGGAGGCGAAGGCGGCUAUCUGGCCCAACAUUGACACUGAGACCCGAAAGCGUGGGGAUCAAACAGG